rnacentral:misc_RNA from 1 species
GAUGAAGAACGCAGCGAAAUGCGAUACUUGGUGUGAAUUGCAGAAUCCCGUGAACCAUCGAGUCUUUGAACGCAAGUUGCGCCCGAAGCCAUCAGGUUGAGGGCACGUCUGCCUGGGCGUCACAUAUCGUUGCCCAAUGCCUAUUGCAGUGCAAUAGGAAUUUCUAGGGCGAAUGAUGGCUUCCCGUGAGCGUUGUUGCCUCGCGGUUGGUUGAAAAUCGAGUCCUUGGUAGGGUGUGCCAUGGUAGAUGGUGGUCGAGUUAGAACGAUACCGAUCAUGUGCAUGCUCCCCAAAAUAUGGCCUCUAUGACCCACACGCGUCUUUUGACGCUCAUGACGAGACCUCAGGUCAGGCGGGGCUACCCGCUGAAUUUAAGCAUAUCAAGAAGCGGAGGA